UCUUCCCCCCUCACUUUGUCAAUUAGACAUUUCUUGUCUUAGUUGGCCAUUCAGGUGGGGUAAAGUCAAUAUCCUUUUAAAACCCAACCAGAUUAUGUUUACCUGGUUUGGAUCCUGUCAGAGGAAACAUGU
rnacentral:snoRNA from 1 species